rnacentral:rRNA from 1 species
AUACGGGGGGUGCAAGCGUUAUUCGGAUUUAUUGGGCGUAAAGGGCGCGUAGGCGGCUUGGAAAGUCAGAUGUGAAAGCCCGGGGCUCAACCCCGGAAGUGCAUUUGAAACUAUCAGGCUUGAGUAUGGGAGAGGGAAGUGGAAUUCCUGGUGUAGAGGUGAAAUUCGUAGAUAUCAGGAGGAACACCGGUGGCGAAGGCGACUUCCUGGACCAAUACUGACGCUGAGGCGCGAAGGCGUGGGGAGCAAACAGGAUUAGAUACCCUAGUAGUCC